AGCAGCCGCGGUAAUUCCAGCUCCAAUAGCGUAUAUUAAAGUUGUUGCAGUUAAAAAGCUCGUAGUUGAAUUUCGGGGUUCUACCGUUGGUCGGGCAAUAGUCUGUACUGGCGUGUAGAAUUUCUACCCUCUGGGGAACCAUCAUGUUAUUUAUUUAGCGUGGUGGGAAACCAGGACCUUUACCUUGAAAAAAUUAGAGUGUUCAAAGCAGGCUUACGUCUGAAUACAUUAGCAUGGAAUAAUAAAAUAGGACGGUGGUCCUGUUUUGUUGGUUUCUGAAUCACCGUAAUGAUUAAUAGGGAUAGUUGGGGGCAUUAGUAUUCAAUUGUCAGAGGUGAAAUUCUUGGAUUUAUUGAAGACUAACUUCUGCGAAAGCAUUUGCCAAGGAUGUUUUCAUUAAUCAAGAACGAAAGUUAGGGGAUCGAAGACGAUCAGAUACCGUCGUAGUCUUAACCAUAAACUAUGCCGACUAGGGAUCGGACGAUGUUAAUUUUUCUUGACUCGUUCGGCGCCUUACGGG
rnacentral:rRNA from 1 species